rnacentral:rRNA from 1 species
UACGUAGGGGGCAAGCGUUGUCCGGAUUUACUGGGCGUAAAGAGCGUGUAGGCGGCCACGCAGGUCCGUUGUGAAACUGGAGCUCAACCUCCAGCUGUCGACGGAAACCGUGUGGCUAGAGUCCGGAAGAGGAGAGUGGAAUUCCUGGUGUAGCGGUGAAAUGCGUAGAUAUCUGGAGGAACACCGGUGGCGAAGGCGGCAUCCUGGACCGACAUUGACGCUGAGGCGCGAAAGCCAGGGGAGCAAAGCGG